rnacentral:rRNA from 1 species
GGCAGACGGGUGAGUAAUGUAUAGGAAUCUACCUAGUAGUACGGAAUAAUUGUUGGAAACGACAACUAAUACCGUAUACGCCCUACGGGGGAAAAAUUUAUUGCUAUUAGAUGAGCCUAUAUUAGAUUAGCUAGUUGGUGGGGUAAUAGCCUACCAAGGUAAUGAUCUAUAGCUGAUCUGAGAGGAUGAUCAGCCACACUGGAACUGAGAUACGGUCCAGACUCCUACGGGAGGCAGCAGUGGGGAAUAUUGGACAAUGGGCGAAAGCCUGAUCCAGCCAUGCCGCAUGAGUGAAGAAGGCCUUUGGGUUGUAAAGCUCUUUUAGUGAGGAAGAUAAUGACGGUACUCACAGAAGAAGUCCUGGCUAACUCCGUGCCAGCAGCCGCGGUAAUACGGAGAGGGCUAGCGUUAUUCGGAAUUAUUGGGCGUAAAGGGCGCGUAGGCUGGUUAAUAAGUUAAAAGUGAAAUCCCGAGGCUUAACCUUGGAAUUGCUUUUAAAACUAUUAAUCUAGAGAUUGAAAGAGGAUAGGGGAAUUCCUGAUGUAGAGGUAAAAUUCGUAAAUAUUAGGAGGAACACCAGUGGCGAAGGCGUCUAUCUGGUUCAAAUCUGACGCUGAAGCGCGAAGGCGUGGGGAGCAAACAGGAUUAGAUACCCUGGUAGUCCACGCUGUAAACGAUGAAUGUUAAAUAUGGGGAGUUUACUUUCUGUAUUACAGCUAACGCGUUAAACAUUCCGCCUGGGGACUACGGUCGCAAGAUUAAAACUCAAAGGAAUUGACGGGGACCCGCACAAGCGGUGGAGCAUGUGGUUUAAUUCGAUGCAACGCGAAAAACAAAGUCACUUCUUGACAUGAAACUAAACCCCUUUUC